GCCGAAGUGGCGGAAUUGGUAGACGCGCAUGGUUCAGGGCCAUGUGGGCGUCAGCCCGUGGGGGUUCGAGUCCCCCCUUCGGCACCA
rnacentral:tRNA from 1 species